rnacentral:rRNA from 1 species
GUCCACGCCCUAAACGAUGUCAACUAGCCGUUGGAGGAAUUAAAUCCUUUAGUGGCGCAGCUAACGCGAUAAGUUGACCGCCUGGGGAGUACGGUCGCAAGAUUAAAACUCAAAGGAAUUGACGGGGCCCGCACAAGCGGUGGAGCAUGUGGUUUAAUUCGAUGCAACGCGAAGAACCUUACCAGGCCUUGACAUCCCGGGAACUUUCCAGAGAUGGAUUGGUGCCUUCGGGAACCCGGAGACAGGUGCUGCAUGGCUGUCGU